CCAGUCACACUGUAGUCAAUUUUUUUACCUUAUACUGUACAUUAUGUUUUCUAAUUAACACAGAGAAAGGGAAGGAUUUCUACAGAAACUUUCACUUGGAAAACAAGCUGCCUUAAGAUCAAUAAGCUGGACUUUGGUGGAUGAAGAUGGAGAAUCAUUAGAGGAUGAGGAACCAGAAACCAGCUGGAUGUUAAUUCAAGAGAAUGAUCUAAUAGCAUUAUUCUCACAGUUCCCUUUUGAUGCCAUUUUCAAGCACCUUCUUAAAAUGGAUCCUAACAUCCAUAAUGAUAGCUUGACUGAAUCACAUUACCAUGUAGAACAUACAACAAGCCGCGACAUAAUGAGAAUGUUGGCAUUUGCUUCUUGUAUUGUGUAUGUGAUGGGAAGUGCUUUCCGCACCUAUGCCAAAAUACGUUACAGGGCAUUUGUCAAGAGAGUGGGGCGAACUAUCAGGUAUUCAUGAAAGCUUAUUAAUUUUAUGCAGUAUUGGAUCAUACAUGUGUACGUGUACUAUCUCAAGGCAGAAUACAUGUAUUUAGUAUAAAUCUACUAGCGUUCUAUCACGAAUGCUGUUCUCUG